AUUGAACGCUGGCGGCAGGCCUAACACAUGCAAGUCGAGCGGCAGCGACUUAACUGAACUUCGGGGAACGUUAAGGGCGGCGAGCGGCGGACGGGUGAGUAAUGCCUGGGAAUAUGCCUCAGUGUGGGGGAUAACUAUUGGAAACGAUAGCUAAUACCGCAUAAUCUCCGAUCUUUUACGAGAUGGGAGCAAAGCGGGGGACCUUCGGGCCUCGCGCGCUGAGAUUAGCCCAGGUGGGAUUAGCUUGUUGGUGAGGUAAUGGCUCACCAAGGCAACGAUCCCUAGCUGGUCUGAGAGGAUGAUCAGCCACACUGGAACUGAGACACGGUCCAGACUCCUACGGGAGGCAGCAGUGGGGAAUAUUGCACAAUGGGGGAAACCCUGAUGCAGCCAUGCCGCGUGUGUGAAGAAGGCCUUCGGGUUGUAAAGCACUUUCAGUAGGGAGGAAGGUAGUGUAGUUAACACCUGCAUUAUUUGACGUUACCUACAGAAGAAGCACCGGCUAACUCCGUGCCAGCAGCCGCGGUAAUACGGAGGGUGCGAGCGUUAAUCGGAAUUACUGGGCGUAAAGCGCAUGCAGGCGGCCUGUUAAGUCAGAUGUGAAAGCCCGGGGCUUAACCUCGGAAUUGCAUUUGAAACUGGCAGGCUAGAGUCUUGUAGAGGGGGGUAGAAUUUCAGGUGUAGCGGUGAAAUGCGUAGAGAUCUGAAGGAAUACCAGUGGCGAAGGCGGCCCCCUGGACAAAGACUGACGCUCAGAUGCGAAAGCGUGGGGAGCAAACAGG
rnacentral:rRNA from 1 species